AUUGAACGCUGGCGGCAGGCCUAACACAUGCAAGUCGAGCGGAUGAAGGGAGCUUGCUCCUGGAUUCAGCGGCGGACGGGUGAGUAAUGCCUAGGGAUCUGCCUGGUAGUGGGGGAUAACGUCCGGAAACGGGCGCUAAUACCGCAUACGUCCUGAGGGAGAAAGUGGGGGAUCUUCGGACCUCACGCUAUCAGAUGAGCCUAGGUCGGAUUAGCUAGUUGGUGGGGUAAAGGCCUACCAAGGCGACGAUCCGUAACUGGUCUGAGAGGAUGAUCAGUCACACUGGAACUGAGACACGGUCCAGACUCCUACGGGAGGCAGCAGUGGGGAAUAUUGGACAAUGGGCGAAAGCCUGAUCCAGCCAUGCCGCGUGUGUGAAGAAGGUCUUCGGAUUGUAAAGCACUUUAAGUUGGGAGAAAGGGCAGUAAGUUAAUACCUUGCUGUUUUGACGUUACCAACAGAAUAAGCACCGGCUAACUUCGUG
rnacentral:rRNA from 1 species